CCCGGCCCAAAGCACACCCUCUGUCAGUGAUGUGUCAUGUCCUGCAAAGAGACCUAAACUGACAUUGUCAAUGUUUGAAAAGUCAAGGUUUGGAGGCUCACAUGUGGCAGCAGCAAAACCUAAUUUGAGCACCCAGAGGAAAACCUCUCAGAUGUUAGAGCACUCCAGUUCAGCUACAGUUUCAUGUCCACCCUCUGAUCCUCAUCCUCCUCCAUCCCCCAAACCUCAUCAGCCCGUCAUCCAGUCCUCCUCUUCCUUCUUCCUUCCUCCACCUCAGAGUUCACAACGCAUCAAAAAAACAGCAACGCCAUCAACUGUUUCUGAGAAUACUGUUGUGAGGAGCC